rnacentral:rRNA from 1 species
AACGAACGCUGGCGGCAUGCCUAACACAUGCAAGUCGAACGAGACCUUCGGGUCUAUUGGCGCACGGGUGCGUAACGCGUGGGAAUCUGCCCUUGGGUUCGGAAUACCUGUUGGGAACGACUGCUAAUACCGGAUGAUGACGUAAGUCCAAAGAUUUAUUGCCCAAGGAUGAGCCCGCGUAGGAUUAGCUAGUUGGUGAGGUAAAGGCUCACCAAGGCGACGAUCCUUAGCUGGUCUGAGAGGAUGAUCAGCCACACUGGGACUGAGACACGGCCCAGAAUCCUACGGGAGGCAGCAGUGGGGAAUAUUGGAAAAUGGGCGAAAGCCUGAUCCAGCAAUGCCGCGUGAGUGAUGAAGGCCUUAGGGUUGUAAAGCUCUUUUACCCGGGAUGAUAAUGACAGUACCGGGAGAAUAAGCUCCGGCUAACUACGUG